rnacentral:rRNA from 1 species
AUGCCACAGACGCAUUCUCCACCUCGGUCGUUGUGCAGCCCCCCUCCUGAGCGGCUGCGACUUAUGUCCAUCGUUGUUCGGCCCUUCCCCUGUGCUAGCCUUUCCUCUUCGGGGCAUGGUGAUGAAUGGACGGAGGUCCAGUCGCGCAAAGAUCGCCGGCUCGGCCGGUGCCAUGAUGGCGUCCUCGGCCAUGACCCGCGGCCGCGCAAAGGCCACCGACCCGCCUUCAAUGCGAGCGCCGGGCGGGAGGCCUUCUUAAGGCGUUUCCGGGGCCUCUGCUUCAGAUGUCUCAGCUCCAAGCACCGGUGUGUAGACUGUAGGGAUCCAGUUUGCUGCAUCGAUUGCAAACUUCAAGGCCACACUAGCAAAGACUGCCCGAGCAAGAAGGGGCGCGCUCCUGUGAAGGCGCGGUUGGGCUCCCGCGUGGGUCGUGGCCCGAUCUGUGACCACAUCCGCUUCCCCUCGCCGCCGCCGGCGGUGCCGGACAAGACGAUGGCCCACCACACCGACCCGUUGCGCCGCCCAAGGUCCAGCCACAAGGUGGUGAUCGAGACGCCGGCUAUGGAGCGUCAGAUGUUCCUACUCUGUCGCCAUGCGGUGCUGCUGAUUUCCAUGGAGGAGCGCCAUGUUGCCAGCCCCAUGUCGGUGGGGCGUGCCUUCGACACGCAGCUGCGCAUGCCGGCGCACCUGCUGCGGGUCACGAGCCAUGAUCCGGAGGAUUUUCUCGUCCAUUUCGAGCUCCUGGCGCACAAAGACAAUGCCAUCGUGCACCUAGGCUCCAUCAACGUCGACGGUGUCAUCUUCAACAUCAAGCCGUGGCACGAGGACGACCACUUUGUGCAUCAGGAGUUUCUUCUCCACGUCUGCACCGUCAUCGAGAAGAUGCCGCUCCACCUUUGGUCUCUUGAAGGGGCGGCGGAGGUCCUCAGCGACAAGUGCAUCAUCGACCGCCUCGACAGUAGGAACCACGAGCGUGGGCACCUGAAGACCUUUGCAUGUUGGGUGUGGGUGUGGGAUGUGGCAUUCAUCCCCACCCGACACCAUCUGGAGGGCGCCGCAGGGUGCUGGCCGUGUGGAGGCCAUGUUGGGCUACUGGCCGCCAAGCCGAGAGGUGGCGCCGCUACCGCGCGUCUAGCGCCACGACAUGCUCGUCCACGUCGAUCGCGUCGAGGACUGGUCACCGCGCUCUUCGCAUUCCGUGCAGAGUGGCCUGCCCUUGUCGGAGUCUGA